rnacentral:rRNA from 1 species
AUACGUAUGGGGCAAGCGUUAUCCGGAAUUAUUGGGCGUAAAGAGUGCGUAGGUGGUUACCUAAGCGCAAGGUUUAAUCUUGAGGCUCAACCUCAUUCUGCCUUGCGAACUGGGCUACUUGAGUGCAGGAGGGGAAAGCGGAAUUCCCAGUGUAGCGGUGAAAUGCGUAGAUAUUGGGAAGAACACCGGUGGCGAAGGCGGCUUUCUGGACUGUAACUGCCACUGAGGCACGAAAGCGUGGGGAGCAAACAGGAUUAGAUGCCCUGGUAGUCCACGCCGUAAACGAUGAGCACUAGUUGUUGGGUACGAAUGUAUUCAGUGACGCAGUUAACGCAAUAAGUGCUCCGCCUGGGGAGUACGGUGGCAACACUAAAACUCAAAUGAAUUGACGGGG